rnacentral:rRNA from 1 species
UACGUAGGUGGCAAGCGUUGUCCGGAUUUACUGGGUGUAAAGGGCGUGUAGCCGGAAAGGCAAGUCAGAUGUGAAAUCCACGGGCUCAACUCGUGAACUGCAUUUGAAACUGUUUUUCUUGAGUAUCGGAGAGGCAAUCGGAAUUCCUAGUGUAGCGGUGAAAUGCGUAGAUAUUAGGAGGAACACCAGUGGCGAAGGCGGAUUGCUGGACGACAACUGACGGUGAGGCGCGAAAGCGUGGGGAGCAAACAGG